GUUAAGACUUAAAUACCUAAAGGCACCAGAUCCCAUCUGAUCUUGGAAGCUAAGCAACGUCUGUUUUGGUUAGUACUUGCAUGAGAGACCACCAAUGAACACCAGGUGCUGUAAGCU
rnacentral:rRNA from 1 species